rnacentral:rRNA from 1 species
AUUGAACGCUGGCGGCAUGCUUUACACAUGCAAGUCGAACGGUAACAGCACUUCGGUGGCUGACGAGUGGCGCACGGGUGAGUAAUACAUCGGAACGUGCCUAGUAGUGGGGGAUAACUACUCGAAAGAGUAGCUAAUACCGCAUGAGAUCUAAGGAUGAAAGCAGGGGACCUUCGGGCCUUGCGCUACUAGAGCGGCUGAUGGCAGAUUAGGUAGUUGGUGGGAUAAAAGCUUACCAAGCCGACGAUCUGUAGCUGGUCUGAGAGGACGACCAGCCACACUGGGACUGAGACACGGCCCAGACUCCUACGGGAGGCAGCAGUGGGGAAUUUUGGACAAUGGGCGCAAGCCUGAUCCAGCAAUGCCGCGUGCAGGAUGAAGGCCUUCGGGUUGUAAACUGCUUUUGUACGGGACGAAAAGCCCUCUUCUAAUACAGGAGGGUCAUGACGGUACCGUAAGAAUAAGCACCGGCUAACUACGUG